CUGGAAGCCAGCCUGUUUGUAUGAGGAUUGGGCGGGGGGGAGAGGGGGGGUUCGGGAUGGGAGGCGCCUCGCCUUGACCUUUGACUGAAACCCCUAAGUCCACAAACCUGGUCCCACCCCAUAAUCACAGCCUUAAUGUCACUCCCCUAACUCCUACAGUUCAGCCUGACUGGACUCUAACCUUAACUUCAUAGCCUUGGCCCAUUCCCUCUCUGACCCUUGACCUCUAACCCC
rnacentral:lncRNA from 1 species